rnacentral:rRNA from 1 species
AUAUCAGUCAUGCAUAGCAUAUCAAUAAGCGGAGGAAAAGAAACUAACAAGGAUUCCCUUAGUAACGGCGAGUGAAGCGGGAAGAGCUCAAAUUUGAAAUCUUCAAGGUUUUACCUUGACGAAUUGUAGUUUAAAGAAGUGUUUUCUGUUGAAGUUUUGGUAAAAGUUCUUUGGAAUAGGACAUCAUAGAGGGUGAGAAUCCCGUAUUUGACCAUUACUUUCAGCUUUGUGAUACACUUUCAAAGAGUCGGAUUGUUUGGGAAUGCAGUCCAAAAUGGCUGGUAAAUUUCAUCUAAAGCUAAAUAUUGGCGAGAGACCGAUAGCGAACAAGUACCGUGAGGGAAAGAUGAAAAGAACUUUGAAAAGAGAGUUAAACAGUACGUGAAAUUGUCAAAAGGGAAGCGUUUGACACCAGUGUUGUUUUCUCGAAAAUCAAUUAAAAAGAGUUGGAUUUUGUGUUGUAUUGACUUUAUCAGCUUUCUUCACUCUUUUCCAGCUUUUUUUAAUGCACUUUUCGUUUAACAAGUUAACAUCAGUUUCUUUUGUUGUAAAAAGGUCAUUGGAAGGUGGCUUUCUCUUCGGAGAAAGUGUUUAUAGCCUUUGACUCAUGCAAUCGGAGAGACUGAGGUCUGCAGCGUAGAUCCUUCGGGGUUAGAUACAUUUGUGCUAAGUUAUAGCUUUUCAUAGACAACUUGUUGACUAUGUUUAGUCUUGUAGCUUACUCGCUUAUGCUAUUUUACCUACGCUUAGGAUGUUGAACUCUAUCACACACAG